ACCCCUAUCAAACUCCGAAUACCAUUCAAUAGAGCGCAGCAGUGAGACGGCGGGGGAUAAGCUUCGUCGUCGAGAGGGAAACAGCCCAGAUCAGCAGCUAAGGUGCCUAAAUUGUGCUCAGUGGAAAGGAGGUGAGGUUUCAUAGACAGUGAGGAUGUUGGCUUAGAAGCAGCCACCAUUUAAAAAAUGCGUAAUAGCUUACUCAUCGAGAGACCUUGCGCCGAAAAUACUUGGCGAUAAGCACAAUACCGAAGCUCUGGGUGUCCUAGUUUACUAGGGCGCGGUAGAGGAGCAUUCUCUGUGCAGUGAAGGGUGAUGGCGACUGACCCUGGAGCGCAGAGAAGUGAGAAUGCAGACAUGAGUAACGAUAAGAGCAGUGAAAUCCUGCUCCGCCGUAAAUCCAAGGUUUCCCGGGCAACGUUUUUCGUCCCGGGGUUAGUCGGGACCUAACCCGAGGCCGAUGGGCGUAGGGGAUGGUAAGCAGGUUAAUAUUCCUGCACCCAGUAAGGAGGACGCAUAAUGAAAAGCUACUAUCUGAAUGAAUUGGGAGGCGAGGCUCAGGCCGGACCGCAUAGCUGGACAGAGUGCCAAGAAAAGCCCUUACAUUAAUGGCCCGUACCGUAAACCGACACAGGUGGAUGGGUAGAAUAUACCAAGGCGCAAGAGUGAAACCUGGUCAAGGAACUCGGCAAAAUAGCCCCGUAACUUCGGAAGAAGGGGUGCCCCCUCUGGGGGGCCGCAGUGAAAUGGCCCAACCGACUGUUUAGCAAAAACACAGCAUUGUGCUAAGGCGUAAGCCGACGUAUACGAUGUGACACGUGACCAAUGCCAAAAGAUUACGGUAAGAUGUUAGCACUUUAGUGCGAAGCUUCGAGCCCAAGUCCUGGUGAAUGUCGGCCGUAACUAUAACGGUCCUAAGGUAGCGAAAUUCCUUGUCGGGUAAGUUCCGACCUGCACGAAUCGUGCAACGAGUUGGGCGCUGUCUCGACCAGGUGCUCAGUGAAAUUGUAGUUCCGGUGAAGAUGCCGGACACCCGCAGAAGGACGGAAAGACCCUAUAGACCUUAACUGUAAGCUGUUAUUGGUUGUUCGAUCUUAAUGCUCAGCAUAAGUGGGAGACAUUGAAGGGUGCGUUUAGGCGCAUCUGGAGUCAUCAGUGAGAUACCACCCUUUAAUAUUGGAUAAUCUAACCCCGAGC
rnacentral:rRNA from 1 species